AGCGUUAUGUUUCUCUGGGGCACUCUAUUCGCUCCAGAGCUAAGAGGGAAUCCGGUGCGUCGAGAGAUCGGCUACUCCGGGGCUGCCCCCGCAACUGUGAGCGGCGAGCCAAUGUCCAUUCAUGUCACUGAGGCGAUGAGCCUUGGGAAGACGGACAAAGGUGACGACCCGUAAGCCAGGAGACCUGCCACAACAAAAUAACGUCC
rnacentral:ncRNA from 2 species